rnacentral:lncRNA from 1 species
GUGUCAUAGAUGGUUUUGCAAGGUAAUAAAGAGCAAGUAAAUAAAAGUUAGUUGUUGUUUUGCAAGAUAAUAUAGAGCGUGGAAAUAAAAGUUAGGGGAUGUUUAGUAGAAAGCUUUUUGUGUAAUUCAAAGUGCGUUAUAUCGACUGGAGGGCGUUUAAAUAGGCAUUUUUUACAAAUUCGUCACUAAGUAAAUUCCUUAGAAGCGAACAGCGAGCAACAGAUUAAGUACUCAGUCAAACAAGAAAAACAAC